GAUGAACGCUGGCGGCGUGCCUAAUACAUGCAAGUCGAGCGAACAGACGAGGAGCUUGCUCCUCUGACGUUAGCGGCGGACGGGUGAGUAACACGUGGAUAACCUACCUAUAAGACUGGGAUAACUUCGGGAAACCGGAGCUAAUACCGGAUAAUAUAUUGAACCGCAUGGUUCAAUAGUGAAAGACGGUUUUGCUGUCACUUAUAGAUGGAUCCGUGCCGCAUUAGCUAGUUGGUAAGGUAACGGCUUACCAAGGCAACGAUGGGUAGCCGACCUGAGAGGGGGAUGGGGCACACUGGAACUGAGACACGGUCCAGACUCCUACGGGAGGCAGCAGUAGGGACUCUUCCGCAAUGGGCGAAAGCUUGACGGAGCAACGCCGCGUGAGUGAUGAAGGUCUUCGGAUCGUAAAACUCUGUUAUUAGGGAAGAACAAAUGUGUAAGUAACUAUGCACGUCUUGACGGUACCUAAUCAGAAAGCCACGGCUAACUACGUG
rnacentral:rRNA from 1 species